UACGUAGGGUGCGAGCGUUGUCCGGAAUUAUUGGGCGUAAAGAGCUCGUAGGCGGUUUGUCGCGUCUGCCGUGAAAGUCCGGGGCUCAACUUCGGAUCUGCGGUGGGUACGGGCAGACUAGAGUGAUGUAGGGGAGACUGGAAUUCCUGGUGUAGCGGUGAAAUGCGCAGAUAUCAGGAGGAACACCGAUGGCGAAGGCAGGUCUCUGGGCAGUAACUGACGCUGAGGAGCGAAAGCAUGGGGAGCGAACAGG
rnacentral:rRNA from 1 species